rnacentral:rRNA from 1 species
UUGACAACGUCGAGCGGUAGCACAGAGAGCUUGCUCUCGGGUGACGAGCGGCGGACGGGUGAGUAAUGUCUGGGAAACUGCCUGAUGGAGGGGGAUAACUACUGGAAACGGUAGCUAAUACCGCAUAAUGUCGCAAGACCAAAGUGGGGGACCUUCGGGCCUCAUGCCAUCAGAUGUGCCCAGAUGGGAUUAGCUAGUAGGUGGGGUAACGGCUCACCUAGGCGACGAUCCCUAGCUGGUCUGAGAGGAUGACCAGCCACACUGGAACUGAGACACGGUCCAGACUCCUACGGGAGGCAGCAGUGGGGAAUAUUGCACAAUGGGCGCAAGCCUGAUGCAGCCAUGCCGCGUGUGUGAAGAAGGCCUUCGGGUUGUAAAGCACUUUCAGCGGGGAGGAAGGCGUUAAGGUUAAUAACCUUGUCGAUUGACGUUACCCGCAGAAGAAGCACCGGCUAACUCCGUGCCAGCAGCCGCGGUAAUACGGAGGGUGCAAGCGUUAAUCGGAAUUACUGGGCGUAAAGCGCACGCAGGCGGUCUGUCAAGUCGGAUGUGAAAUCCCCGGGCUCAACCUGGGAACUGCAUUCGAAACUGGCAGGCUAGAGUCUUGUAGAGGGGGGUAGAAUUCCAGGUGUAGCGGUGAAAUGCGUAGAGAUCUGGAGGAAUACCGGUGGCGAAGGCGGCCCCCUGGACAAAGACUGACGCUCAGGUGCGAAAGCGUGGGGAGCAAACAGGAUUAGAUACCCUGGUAGUCCACGCCGUAAACGAUGUCGAUUUGGAGGUUGUGCCCUUGAGGCGUGGCUUCCGGAGCUAACGCGUUAAAUCGACCGCCUGGGGAGUACGGCCGCAAGGUUAAAACUCAAAUGAAUUGACGGGGGCCCGCACAAGCGGUGGAGCAUGUGGUUUAAUUCGAUGCAACGCGAAGAACCUUACCUGGUCUUGACAUCCACAGAACUUUCCAGAGAUGGAUUGGUGCCUUCGGGAACUGUGAGACAGGUGCUGCAUGGCUGUCGUCAGCUCGUGUUGUGAAAUGUUGGGUUAAGUCCCGCAACGAGCGCAACCCUUAUCCUUUGUUGCCAGCGGUUAGGCCGGGAACUCAAAGGAGACUGCCAGUGAUAAACUGGAGGAAGGUGGGGAUGACGUCAAGUCAUCAUGGCCCUUACGACCAGGGCUACACACGUGCUACAAUGGCAUAUACAAAGAGAAGCGACCUCGCGAGAGCAAGCGGACCUCAUAAAGUAUGUCGUAGUCCGGAUUGGAGUCUGCAACUCGACUCCAUGAAGUCGGAAUCGCUAGUAAUCGUAGAUCAGAAUGCUACGGUGAAUACGUUCCCGGGCCUUGUACACACCGCCCGUCACACCAUGGGAGUGGGUUGCAAAAGAAGUAGGUAGCUUAACCUUCGGGAGGGCGCUACCACU